GACGAACGCUGGCGGCGUGCCUAAUACAUGCAAGUCGAACGGAAAGGCGCUGAUCUUGCGGGGCGGACGAGUGGGGCACGGGGGAGUAACACGCGAGUAUACUGUACUUGUAUUUGGGAUAAAAUCAGGAGAAUGGGGCUCAUACAGCAUAGGAGAUUCUGAACCACGGGGGGGGAUGGAAAGAUUCGGCGGUGCGGGAUGGACUCGCGGCUUAUGAGCUGGAUGGUGUGGUAGUGACGGACAAAGGUUAUGAAGGGUAGGCGGCAUUAGAGGGUGACCGGCCACAUUGGGACUGAGAGACGGCGCAGACUGCUACGGGACGCAGCAGUGGAGAGUAUUACACAGCGGGCGGAAGCCUGAUGCAGCGACGCCGCGUGCGGGAUGACGUCCUUCGGGUUAUAAACCGCUUUGGCCUGUGACGAAGCGUGAGUGACGGUAAUGGGUAAGGAAGCACCGGCUAACUACGUG
rnacentral:rRNA from 1 species